AUUGAACGCUAGCGGCAGGCCUAACACAUGCAAGUCGAGCGAGCGGCGGACGGGUGAGUAAUGUAUGGGGACUGCCCGAUAGAGGGGGAUAACUACUGGAAACGGUGGCUAAUACCGCAUACUAGCGGAUAACCCAUAUGGGAUUAGCUAGUAGGUGGGGUAAAGGAUCACCAAGGCGACGAUCUCUAGCUGGUCUGAGAGGAUGAUCAGCCACACGUGGAAUGAGACACGGCCCAGACUCCAACGGAGGCAGCCGUGGGGAUAAUUACACGAUGGGCGCAAGCCUGAUGCAGCCAUGCCGCGUGUAUGAAGAAGGCCUUAGGGUUGUAAAGUACUUUCAGCGGGAAGGCGUUACCCGCAGAAGAAGCACCGGCUAACUCCGUGCCAGCAGCCGCGGUAAUUC
rnacentral:rRNA from 1 species